rnacentral:rRNA from 1 species
UACAGAGGUCUCAAGCGUUGUUCGGAAUUACUGGGCGUAAAGGGUGCGCAGGCCGCGCGGGCAGUCAAAUGUGUAAUUCAGGGGCUCAACCCCUGCACUGUGCUGGAUACUUCCGCGCUCGAGCUUUGGAGAGGAGUCUGGAAUUCUCGGUGUAGCAGUGAAAUGCGUGGAUAUCGAGAAGAACACUUAGGGCGUAGGCAAGACUCUGGACAAAUGCUGACGCUCAUGCACGAAGGCUAGGGUAGCGAACGGG